GACGAACGCUGGCGGCGUGCUUAACACAUGCAAGUCGAACGGAAAGGCCCUGCUUUUGUGGUGUGCUCGAGUGGCGAACGGGUGAGUAACACGUGAGUAACCUGCCCUUUACUUUGGGAUAACUUCAGGAAACUGUGGCUAAUACCGGAUAGGAGCUCCUGCUGCAUGGUGGGGGUUGGAAAGUUUCGGUGGUUGGGGAUGUACUCGCGGCUUCUCAGCUUUUUGGUGGGGUAGUGGAUUACCAAGGCUUUGACGGGUAGCCGGACUGAGAGGGUGACAGGCCACAGAGGGAUAGAGAUACGGGCAGUACUCAUACGGGAGGAAGCAAUGGGGGAUAGUGCAAAAAGGGCGGAAUGAGGAAGCAGCAUCGCCGGGUGCGGGAUAACGGCCUUAGGGUUGUAACCCGCGUGCGACUGGGAAGAAGCGUGAGUGACGGUAAUGGGUAAAGAAGCAACGGCUAACUACGUG
rnacentral:rRNA from 1 species